UUCUGAAUGAUGUGAUAGACAUCACCUUGAUUAUGAUCAUUAUAUCCAGGUUGUGUUAGAGGAGUCAUAUCCUGAGCUCUAACAGAUGGUCCAUCAGCGCUUUCCUUUGGCUGAACAACCUGUUGCUGGGAAGAAGAUUCUGUUCCCGUCCGCACAUUCAGUCUGUUGCACUUAAUCGGUUCAGUCUCUAGUUCCAGUUGUUCUUCCUGCGCCUCCAGGUCAUGCAUUUUCUGCAGAGCGGCGACCCGUUCGAAUCCAAUGCAACAUCGCCAUCUUGUGACCGAACGUCAGACUUGACUAAGGACACGUUUGUUCCGCUCUAAGUGAUCCAGUAAACCGCACUGAAGGCAGAAUGCGUCGAGCGGCUUAUAUUGUAGUGAGAGUCAACGAGAUUCAGUGUUGCGGUUUCUGGUCCUAUAGCUUUUCCAAUAAAGCUUAGUGUUGCACGUACCUCCUCCGUGGUUCCUUGUUGUUUGGAGUUUCCAAUCUCCUUCCAUCAGCUCGCACAGGUAGAGGAGCACCAGACAGUUCUCACUUAUUGUAGUGGCAAUCUUAGGUUUGCUGCCCCUUCAGCGGUCUCGUUGUUGUUCUUUGCUAUCAGGCACAGGUGGGAGUGAUGAUUCGACGCAGACACACAAAAGAUUUUCCAGCGAUGAUUGUGGUUGAGGUUUGCAAUUGAUUGCAGGCAUUGUAUAAACAGACGGUUGAACGUGCUCCUAUUGAUGGUGGUCUGUUUUUGUGGUCUGGUGAGAACAGUCUGGUGCUCCCCUACCUGUCCCCUCGCUUCCUGUCACCUACGUCCCUUAUGUACACCGAGGUGCACCUAAUCACCGCCACCUAGUGUCCAAAGUGUCAAUAUAAAUACAGUCUAACAAACAAAAUAUACUUUGCCAACAACAACAACAACACAUAAUGGCCCCUACAGGGGUAAUAGAAGAGUCCAACAGUGCCUGGUGUAGCCCCAUCGUUCUUGUGGCUAAAAAGGAUGGAUCUGUCCGGUUCUGAGUGGACUACUGCAGGGUGAAUGAGUCGAUGCCUACCCAAUGCCCCGGGUCGACGAGCUCCUGGACCGGCUGGGCUCUGCACGUUUCUUUACGACACUGGAUUUGACUAAAGGCUACUGGCAGAUUCCUCUGUCGUCAGAGUCCAAGGAAGAAACGGCGUUCUCCACUCCGUAUGGGUUACACCAAUUUACCACGCUUCCCUUUGGCUUGUUUGAUGCCCCGGCCACCUUCCAACGUCUCAUGGAUUGGGUGCUGCGUCCGCACGCUGCACAUGCUGCCGCCUACUUGGAUGAUGUCAUUAUCCACAGCACCACCUGGGCGGGGCAUGUGCGGCGGGUGGGCGCAGUGCUGGAGUCACUGAGACAGGCUGGGCUCACCGCCAACCCGGGGAAGUGUGCAGUUGGACGGAUAGAGGUACGGUAUUUGGGGUACCACUUUGGGGGCGGGCAGGUGCGCCCUCAGGUGGACAAGCUGGCAGCCAUUGCGGCCUGCCCGCGGCCAAAGACAAAAAAUGAGGUGAGGCGUUUUUUUGGGCCGGCGGGGUAUUACAGGCAGUUCCAUCCCCAGCUUUGCGGACCUCACCAGCCCCUUGACUGACCUGACCCGGAAUGGUGCGUCAGAUCCGGUCCAGUGGUUCGGAGCAGGGCCAGCGGUCGUU
ensembl:lncRNA